CACCAUGAUUCCAUGGGGCUUGUCUGGAGUGGCAUUUCCCCUUCCUAGUCAUGGAAAAGUAUAUACUUCAUUUUAAUGUAGCUGUCUCAACAAAAUUGGUUACAGUUAUUAAAAUGCAAGUGACAGUU